UACGGAGGGAGCUAGCGUUGUUCGGAUUUACUGGGCGUAAAGGGCGCGUAGGCGGUCGUGACAAGUCACUUGUGAAAUCUCCGGGCUUAACUCGGAACGGUCAAGUGAUACUGUCGGACUAGAGUACAGAAGGGGCAACUGGAAUUCUCGGUGUAGCGGUGAAAUGCGUAGAUAUCGAGAGGAACACCUGCGGCGAAGGCGGGUUGCUGGGCUGAUACUGACGCUGAGGCGCGAAAGCUAGGGGAGCGAACGGG
rnacentral:rRNA from 1 species